rnacentral:rRNA from 1 species
AACGUAGGAGACGAACGUUAUCCGGAGUUACUGGGCGUAAAGGGCGUGCAGGCGGCUUGAUAAGUUCGGCGUGAAAUUUCCCGGCUUAACCGGGGGAUGUCGUCGGAGACUGUCGAGCUAGAGGGUGAUAGAGGCGUGUGGAAUUCCGGGUGUAGUGGUGGAAUGCGCAGAUAUCAGGAGGAACACCAAUAGCGAAGGCAGCUCGCUGGGACGGUACUGACGCUAAGGCGCGAAAGCGUGGGGAGCGAACAGG